rnacentral:rRNA from 1 species
CCUACGGGUGGCAGCAGUGAGGAAUAUUGGUCAAUGGGCGCGAGCCUGAACCAGCCAAGUAGCGUGAAGGAUGACUGCCCUACGGGUUGUAAACUUCUUUUAUAAAGGAAUAAAGUGAGGCACGUGUGCCUUUUUGUAUGUACUUUAUGAAUAAGGAUCGGCUAACUCCGUGCCAGCAGCCGCGGUAAUACGGAGGGGCCGAUCGUUAUCCGGAUUGAUUGGGUUGAAAGGGAGCGUAGAUGGGAUGUUAAGUCAGUUGUGAAAGUUUGCGGCUCAACGUGAAAAUUGCAAUUGAUACUGGCAGUCUGGAGUACAGUUGAGGUUGGCGGAAUUCGAGGUGUAGCAGUGAAAUGCUUAGAUAUCACGAAGAACAUCGAUUGCGAAGGCGACUAUCUAAAACACAACUGACACUGAUGAUCGAAAGUGUGGGUAUCAAACAGGAUUAGAUACCCUUGUAGUC